UACGUAGGGUGCAAGCGUUAAUCGGAAUUACUGGGCGUAAGCGUGCGCAGGCGGUUAUGUAAGACAGUUGUGAAAUCCCGGCUCAACCUGGGAACUGCAUCUGUGACUGCAUAGCUAGAGUACGGUAGAGGGGGAUGGAAUUCCGCGUGUAGCAGUGAAAUGCGUAGAUAUGCGGACGGAACACCGAUGGCGAAGGCAUCCCUGGACCUGUACUGACGCUACAU
rnacentral:rRNA from 1 species